rnacentral:rRNA from 1 species
CGAAGGCUUCGGCCUUAGUGGCGCACGGGUGUGUAACGCGUGGGAAUCUGCCCUCAGGUUCGGAAUAACAGCGAGAAAUUGCUGCUAAUACCGGAUGAUAUCGCGAGAUCAAAGAUUUAUCGCCUGAGGAUGAGCCCGCGUAGGAUUAGCUAGUUGGUGUGGUAAAGGCGCACCAAGGCGACGAUCCUUAGCUGGUCUGAGAGGAUGAUCAGCCACACUGGGACUGAGACACGGCCCAGACUCCUACGGGAGGCAGCAGUGGGGAAUAUUGGACAAUGGGCGAAAGCCUGAUCCAGCAAUGCCGCGUGAGUGAUGAAGGCCUUAGGGUUGUAAAGCUCUUUUACCCGGGAUGAUAAUGACAGUACCGGGAGAAUAAGCUCCGGCUAACUCCGUGCCAGCAGCCGCGGUAAUACGGAGGGAGCUAGCGUUAUUCGGAAUUACU